AACGAACGCUGGCGGCAUGCCUAACACAUGCAAGUCGAACGAGACCUUCGGGUCUAGUGGCGCACGGGUGCGUAACGCGUGGGAACCUGCCCUUAGGUUCGGAAUAACUCCCCGAAAGGGGUGCUAAUACCGGAUAAUGUCUUCGGACCAAAGAUUUAUCGCCUUUGGAUGGGCCCGCGUUGGAUUAGCUAGUUGGUAGGGUAAAAGCCUACCAAGGCGACGAUCCAUAGCUGGUCUGAGAGGAUGAUCAGCCACACUGGGACUGAGACACGGCCCAGACUCCUACGGGAGGCAGCAGUGGGGAAUAUUGGACAAUGGGCAAAAGCCUGAUCCAGCAAUGCUGCGUGAGUGAUGAAGGCCUUAGGGUUGUAAAGCUCUUUUACCCGGGAUGAUAAUGACAGUACCGGGAGAAUAAGCUCCGGCUAACUCCGUG
rnacentral:rRNA from 1 species